AGAAUCAACGCUGGCGGCGUGCCUAACACAUGCAAGUCGAACGAGAAAGUGGUAGCAAUACCAUGAGUAAAGUGGCGCACGGGUGAGUAACACGUGACUAACCUACCCUGGAGUGGGGGAUAACUGAGGGAAACCUUAGCUAAUACCGCAUAAUACCUACGGGUCAAAGGAGCAAUUCGCUUCAGGAGGGGGUCGCGUCCGAUUAGUUAGUUGGCGGGGUAAUGGCCCACCAAGACAGUGAUCGGUA
rnacentral:rRNA from 1 species